AUUAUUAAAGGGCCGCGGUAUUCCUGACCGUGCGAAGGUAGCAUAAUCAUUAGUCUUUUAAUUGAAGGCUUGUAUGAAAGGUUGGACGAAAAAUGGACUGUUUCAAAUAAAAAGAUUGAAUUUAACUUUUAAGUGAAAAGGCUUAAAUAAAUUAAAAAGACGAUAAGACCCUAUAAAUCUUUACAUUUGUUAUUAUAGGUUUUGGAUUGUGUGUGUAAAAAAAAAUAUAAUAAAAAUGUUGUGUUGGGGCAACAGUGAUAUAGUAAUAUUAAUUGUUAAAAAUAAAAACAAAUAUAUUUGUUAAAUAAAGAUCCUUUUUAAAGAUUUAAAGAUUAAGUUACUUUAGGGAUAACAGCGUUAUUUUUUCUGAGAGUUCUUAUCGAAGAAAAAGAUUGCGACCUCGAUGUUGAAUUAAAAAUUCUUUUUAAUGCAGCAGUUAAAAAAGAAAGUCUGUUCGACUUUUAAAUUUUUACAUGAUUUGAGUUCAGACCGGCGUGAGCCAG
rnacentral:rRNA from 1 species